rnacentral:rRNA from 1 species
ACGCUGGCGGCAGGCCUAACACAUGCAAGUCGAGCGGUAGAGAGAAGCUUGCUUCUCUUGAGAGCGGCGGACGGGUGAGUAAUGCCUAGGAAUCUGCCUGGUAGUGGGGGAUAACGUUCGGAAACGGACGCUAAUACCGCAUACGUCCUACGGGAGAAAGCAGGGGACCUUCGGGCCUUGCGCUAUCAGAUGAGCCUAGGUCGGAUUAGCUAGUUGGUGAGGUAAUGGCUCACCAAGGCGACGAUCCGCAACUGGUCUGAGAGGAUGAUCAGUCACACUGGAACUGAGACACGGUCCAGACUCCUACGGGAGGCAGCAGUGGGGAAUAUUGGACAAUGGGCGAAAGCCUGAUCCAGCCAUGCCGCGUGUGUGAAGAAGGUCUUCGGAUUGUAAAGCACUUUAAGUUGGGAGGAAGGGCAUUAACCUAAUACGUUAGUGUUUUGACGUUACCGACAGAAUAAGCACCGGCUAACUCUGUGCCAGCAGCCGCGGUAAUACAGAGGGUGCAAGCGUUAAUCGGAAUUACUGGGCGUAAAGCGCGCGUAGGUGGUUUGUUAAGUUGGAUGUGAAAUCCCCGGGCUCAACCUGGGAACUGCAUUCAAAACUGACUGACUAGAGUAUGGUAGAGGGUGGUGGAAUUUCCUGUGUAGCGGUGAAAUGCGUAGAUAUAGGAAGGAACACCAGUGGCGAAGGCGACCACCUGGACUAAUACUGACACUGAGGUGCGAAAGCGUGGGGAGCAAACAGGAUUAGAUACCC